ensembl:snRNA U1 U1 spliceosomal RNA
ACACUUACCUGGAAGGGGAGAUACCAUGACCAUGAAGGUGCUUUUUUCCAGGGUGAGUCUCACCCAUUGUGCUCUGGAUGUGCUGACCCCCGCGAUUUCCUCAAAUGUGGGGAACUCAACUGAAUAAUUUGUGGUAGUGGGGAACUGUGUUCAUGCUUUCCCCAA